rnacentral:rRNA from 1 species
UACGUAGGGUGCAAGCGUUAAUCGGAAUUACUGGGCGUAAAGCGUGCGCAGGCGGUCUUGUAAGACAGAGGUGAAAUCCCCGGGCUUAACCUGGGAACUGCCUUUGUGACUGCAAGGCUUGAGUGCGGCAGAGGGGGAUGGAAUUCCGCGUGUAGCAGUGAAAUGCGUAGAUAUGCGGAGGAACACCGAUGGCGAAGGCAAUCCCCUGGGCCUGCACUGACGCUCAUGCACGAAAGCGUGGGGAGCAAACAGG